AAAUGACUCUCGGCAACGGAUAUCUCGGCUCUUGCAUCGAUGAAGAACGUAGCGAAAUGCGAUACUUGGUGUGAAUUGCAGAAUCCCGUGAACCAUCGAGUCUUUGAACGCAAGUUGCGCCCGAAGCCAUUAGGUCGAGGGCACGCCUGCCUGGGCGU
rnacentral:rRNA from 1 species